CCUACGGGUGGCAGCAGUGGGGAAUCUUGGGCAAUGGGCGCAAGCCUGACCCAGCAACGCCGCGUGAAGGAAGAAGGCUUUCGGUUUGUAAACCUCUUUUGUCAGGGACGAAGCAAGUGACGGUACCCGACGAAUAAGUCACGGCUAACUACCUGCCAGCAGCCGCGGUAAUACGUGAGCGGCACCCGUUAUGCGGAUUUGCUGGGGGGAAAGGGAGUGUAGGCGGGACUGUAAGUCAGAUGUGAAAACCACGGGGUCAACCUGUGGCCUGCAUUUGAAACUGGAGGUCUUGAGUACUGGAGAGGCAGACGGAAUUCCUAGUGUAGCGGUGAAAUGCGUAGAUAUUAGGAGGAACACCAGUGGCGAAGGCGGUCUGCUGGACAGCAACUGACGCUGAGGCGCGAAAGCGUGGGGAGCAAACAGGAUUAGAUACCCGGGUAGUC
rnacentral:rRNA from 1 species